UGGAACUUGCGGCUUAAUUUGACUCAACACUGGAAAUCUCACCAGGCCCGGACACCGGAAGGAUUGACAGAUUGAGAGCUCUUUCUCGAUUCGGUGGGUGGUGGUGCAUGGCCGUUCUUAGUUGGUGGAGUGAUUUGUCUGGUUAAUUCCGAUAACGAACGAGACUCCGGCCUGCUAAAUAGUCGCGGGGCCGGACCGCCCUCGCGGCGGAGUAUGCCCCGCGAACCAUUUUCUUCUUAGAGGGACUGACAGCAUCUAGCUGUACGAGAUGGAGCAAUAACAGGUCUGUGAUGCCCUUAGAUGUUCUGGGCUGCACGCGUGUUACACUGAAGGGAUCAGCGUGUCCCUCCCUGGCCGAGAGGCCCGGGUAACCCGCUGAACCCCCUUCGUGGUAGGGAUCGGAGCUUGCAAUUAUUCUCCGUGAACCAGGAAUGCCCAGUAAGCGCAAGUCAUAAGCUUGCGUUGAUUACGUCCCUGCCCUUUGUACACACCGCCCGUCGCUACUACCGAUUGAACGUUUUAGUGAGGCAUUUGGACUGGGCCUCUGGAGUAGCGGGCCGUUCGCGCGGCUCGCCUCCACCGCUUGCCCGGGAAGACUUCCAAACUUGAGCGUUUAGAGGAAGUAAAAGUCGUAACAA
rnacentral:rRNA from 1 species